AACGCGAAGAACCUUACCAAGGUUUGACAUCCAGGGAACCCUGAUGAAAGUCGGGGGUGCCGCAAGGAACCCUGAGACAGGUGGUGCAUGGCUGUCGUCAGCUCGUGUCGUGAGAUGUUGGGUUAAGUCCCGCAACGAGCGCAACCCUCGACGUUAGUUGCCAACGGGUAAAGCCGGGCACUCUAGCGUGACUGCCGGUGACAAACCGGAGGAAGGUGGGGAUGAGGUCAAGUCAUCAUGCCCCUUAUACCUUGGGCUACACACGUGCUACAAUGGCCGGGACAGAGGGCUGCAAAACCGCGAGGUGGAGCCAAUCCCCAAACCCGGUCUCAGUUCAGAUUGCAGGCUGCAACUCGCCUGCAUGAAGGCGGAAUCGCUAGUAACCGCAGGUCAGCACACUGCGGUGAAUACGUUCCCGGGCCUUGUA
rnacentral:rRNA from 1 species